AUUGAAUUCUGAAAAUUGUCACGCGUUCGUGACGUCGUGUAGAUCACCGUGGUGAAAAAUUAUACAGAGGAAGAAUGUAACCAAUCUAGGGGAGGCUCAGGAACCUACGAGACGUCGAUAUAAUCUGUUCAAGUAUAUGCAAAGGUGUGGUGACUACGAGGAAAAUUCAACGGUGUUCUGACAGAAUGGACCAAAUGAGGACUCACCUUCGGGUGGUUCAUCUUAGAAAUUGUAUAUUUUUAAAGCUUCCGAACUGUGUAAAUGGUUACGUCACUCUCACGUGACGGCCAGCAUGCCCUCCUUCGGGAUGGGGUGUGACAGUUGGUAUCAGAGCCUAGUUUCAAUCUUGGACAUCUUGAGAAGUUCUAGUGAAUUCUGUCAGAACUACACCGCCUCGUAGCAAACCACGUAGUUAGAGGAACUUAGUCUCCCUGAUUUAGCUGUUAGGGGAAACUAUUAUGUUGGGUGAUUCACUAUAUUAUCGAAAGGGACAUUUUAAGAUGGGUUAUGAGUUGAAUUUGAAUCACCUUAUGAAAUGAUGGACCGAGGGAGCAAAGUGAUGAAUUAACCAAUUGGAAAAGAUGUUUUAGAUUAUGCAAGUCAAGGGAAUUUUCCUUUUGACAGAAGGGUUGAGACGACUAACUGGUUGGAGUUAUGAACUUGUAUCCUGGUGGAAACAGGAGUAUAAUUCGUUGUCACCGGAGGAAACAACCGAUUGAGAAUUGUUUAAGGACUUGUUUAAAUAAAAGAAUUAUUCCUCCGGCAUAUAUGGAUGAUAAUAAGCAAGAGUUGUGAUUUGAGACAAGGAAAGAUGACGGCAAAUAAGUAUUAUAGAAAGUUUACAGACUUGCCUUAUUACCAUCCGGAUGUUGUUGAUAAUCCGGCAAAGAUGUCUCGUCGUUUUAGGCUGGGUAAUAAGAAGAAGUGGCGUUCUUUGGGUGACCACUAUCCAUUAUAAUUCUUACCAGGAGUAUACAAGAUGUUGUUGAGCCUUAAGGACUCUGAGAUUAUGUCCAGUGAUAAUGAUGAAGAAGAAUAAAGGAAUGGGAAUCAGAGGAAUGAUGACAAGGAUAAAGGCCAGUCAUCUCGAAAAUCUUGAAAGAUUCGGAACUUCAAAAGAAGUGAAGCUAAUUCUAGUUCUUUUGGCAAAGGUUUUAAUGCCAUUGACCAAAGGCGAAGUGAUAGAUGUAUUGGUAAUCCCAGAUCUCAGAGACAAGGUGAUUUUGGUAAAGGAAAUGUACCUUUGUGCUGUAGGUGCAAUAAUGGACACCUUUGAGAAUAUAGGCGAGAAAGCAGUGGACGCUUUACAAGUGGAUAGAUGGGACAUAGAACUGCAAAUUAUGUCCAAAGCCAAUAGAAGUCCUAGUAGUCUUCUUUGCCACAACUGGCGCCGAUCCAGCAAGUUUCUGGAUCUAUUAAUUAUGGUCGGUUAGGCCGUGGUGUACAUGAACGAAGUAUUUACACUAAUAGAGGUUGUGGGAGACGACAACCAGCCCAGGGAUGUGUUAACCACACAUCACUGCAAGAUACUCAGAAUUAUUCGGAUUUGAUUAGGAGUACGAUAAUUAUUCUUAAUGACUUAGCUAGAGUCUAUUUGUUAUUAAUGUAGAAAUUUUAUGUUAUAUACAGUGAUGAGUUGCAGACCACACGAGGUGGUACUGAAUGUGUGCAAGAUAUACUGAUAUGAUGAGUUAAUUAUGAGUUAUAUAUGCAGCCGAUGGCUGAGUUGAUUAGAAUGAAAGAGUAUGAGCUAUGUUUAUAGCCGAAUGUUGAAUUGAUUAUAUGUUAUUCCAUCAUAGUCACAUAGAGAUGAUGAGCAUUCUGUUAUGAUACUUGGCAUGACAUACAUUCAUAUUGCCUAGUAUAAUUUGAGAUAUAUUACGUAUAUGAGUAUAUACUUUAGUUCCGGGAAACCAGUUAUUUUCCAUCGGUCUGGAUGACUAGAGAUUACUUUUGUAAGUAUGUAAAGUGGAGUAAGGCAGGCCGUUAUUUAUGCUGUGAGAGCAAAGAGAUUGUUAUCAAAAGGCUGCCAAGUAUACUUAUCUCAUGUGGUACUAAAUAAUAUCACUUCUGGUAUUGUGGAAGAAGUGGGAAGAGUCAAACAUUUACCUGACGUUUUCCCUGAGAAUUUACCUGGAUUGCCUUUAGGCAGAAAUGUGAAGAUCAAUAUCGAUUUGUUUCCAGUAUAAAAAUUUUAUGUUAGAGAUUAGUUCAUGAUGAGUUAAGAGAAUUGGAAAUUUAGUUGAAGGAAUUGGUUGAUAAAAGUUUCAUUCAACCUAAUACAACACUUUUGAGGAGCCCAUUUCGUUGGUGAAAAAGAAAAUGGACCUUAAAGACUAUCCAUUGAUUAUAGACCAUGGAAUCAGGUAACGAUUAAGAACCGUUAUCCAUGAUGGUGUACUGAUGUUUAAUGAAUCAGCUCAGAGGUAUUUGUAUAUUUUCUAAGAUUGACUUGAGGUCUGGAUAUUAUUAAUUGAAGAUUAUCGGUGAGGAUGCCCUUAUGAUAACUUUCAGGACUCGUUAAGGUCAUUUCAAGUUUGGUGAUGCCAUUCGGAGUGACGAAUGCAUCUACUAUUUUAUGAAUUUGAUCAAUGAAGCAUUCCAAUGAUAUCUAGACCGAUUUGUUGUUGUUGCUAUUGAAAAGAUUGAUAAGACUAAAGCAAAGUAUGCUAAACAUCUUAAAUUGGUAUUGCAAAGAUCGAGGGAAUGUCGAUUGUAUGCUAAAUUUAGCCAAUGCCAAUGUUGGAUGAAUCAAGUAGCAUUUUUGAGAUAUGUUAUAUCUGCUUCAGGUAUUCAAGUGAAUUCUUAAAAGGUAGCAGAAAUUGAGAAUUUAGAACAACCACGAAUCAUGAUUGGGAUUCGGAGUUAUCCUAGCUUAACAAGCUAUCAUGGACGGUUCGUGAAAGAUUUUUCAGUCAUUGCCUUGCCAUUGACAAGAAAAGAGGUUAAGUUUGAGUGGGAUGAUAAUUAUGAGUAAAGGUUUCAACAGCUGAAGUAUUUCCUCACUCAUGCACGUAUUUUAGUAUUCCCAGAGAAUGGUGGUAAUCAUAAAUUUUUAGUGAUGUUUCUUGAAUGGUAUUGGAUGCAUGUUGAUGCAAAUGUUAGGGUGAUUACAUACAUUUCACGACGAAAGGAAUCUCAUGAAAUGAAUUACCCUACUGAUGAUUUGGAAGUCAUGAUUACCAUUCUUGCUGUGAAGUCAUGAGGACAUUAUAUUUGGUAAGAAUGCAAGAUUUUUACGAAUCCAAAAAGUCUCUAAUAUCCAUUACUUGGAAAGAUUUUGAUAUGAGGUAGCGAAGGUGGAUUGAAUUGUUUAAUGAACAUGAUUGUAUGAUCAAGGAAAUCGUAAAAUUGUUCUAGCUGAUGCACUUGGUGAAAAGACUGUGGUAAGAGUUAAUGUCUGGCACGCUUGCCAAGAUUGUCUUCUUGUGGAUUGGAAAUCAACUGAAGUAAAGUUAAGAAUGGAAGAUUGAGAAGAAGUUGUAAUUGCUAAUUUUCAAGUUAAGUCUUUUUGGUAAGGUCAUACUCAAGACUCAAAUGGUUAACGAAGAAAAUUAAGAAUUAACCAAGACAAAGAAAGAAGGGAAAAAGAAAGAUUGCUGAGUUCGAGAAUAGGAUGGUUAUGAUUGAACUUGAAGUGAUAAUUGAUCAAUGUACCAAGUUAAUACAUUUACUCCAGUGUUGAGUAAUAACCACAGUGUAACAAUACUUAUAUGUUUUAUGGAGAAGAGAUUUGGGUUACGGAACUGCUAAGUUUCUUAAGUAUGUUGAUUGCGCAGUUUCCGAUGUAACGCCAUAAGGACUAUGAAAUAUGUCGAUUUUUGGCUGAUUUGUGGAAGAAAUGCUUCUGGAUAUAAAAGAUUCGAUCACGAAAGAGUUUUGGUAGGCCCUGAAACUAUGGAUGAGUCUUCUCAAAGUAUUCAGGUAAUUAGGUAUAACCUGAAAGUAGCUUAGGACAGGCAGAAAAGUUUAGCAGAUCGACAUGCUACGGACAGAAUGUAUGAGGUCGGAGAUUAGGUAUUUUUGAAGCUUUCACCGUGGAGAGGUGUUGUACGGUUUGGAAAGAAGGGGAAGUUGAGUCCAGGUACAUUGGACCAUACAUGGUCA